UAUUUUUUGCAUGGAAUAAUAGAAUAUGAUCUCGGUUCUAUUUUGUUGGUUUUCGGACUCCGAGGUAAUGAUUAAUAGGGAUAACUGGGGGCAUUCGUAUUGCGACGUUAGAGGUGAAAUUCUUGGAUCGUCGCAAGACGGACAUCAGCGAAAGCAUUUGCCAAAGGUGUUUUCAUCAAUCAAGAACGAAAGUUAGAGGUUCGAAGGCGAUUAGAUACCGCCCUAGUUCUAACCAUAAAUGUUGCCACCUGSGAUCCGCCGACGUUACUUCAAUGGCUCGGCGAACAGCUCCGGGAAACC
rnacentral:rRNA from 1 species